rnacentral:rRNA from 5 species
GUUUGGUUAAGUUAGAAAGGGCGCACGGUGGAUGCCUUGACACUAGGAGUCGAUGAAGGACGGGACUAACGCCGAUAUGCUUCGGGGAGCUGUAAGUAAGCUUUGAUCCGAAGAUUUCCGAAUGGGGAAACCCACCAUACGUAAUGGUAUGGUAUCCUUAUCUGAAUACAUAGGGUAAGGAAGACAGACCCAGGGAACUGAAACAUCUAAGUACCUGGAGGAAGAGAAAGCAAAUGCGAUUUCCUGAGUAGCGGCGAGCGAAACGGAACAUAGCCCAAACCAAGAGGCUUGCCUCUUGGGGUUGUAGGACAUUCUAUACGGAGUUACAAAGGAACGAGGUAGACGAAGCGACCUGGAAAGGUCCGUCGUAGAGGGUAACAACCCCGUAGUCGAAACUUCGUUCUCUCUUGAAUGUAUCCUGAGUACGGCGGAACACGUGAAAUUCCGUCGGAAUCUGGGAGGACCAUCUCCCAAGGCUAAAUACUCCCUAGUGAUCGAUAGUGAACCAGUACCGUGAGGGAAAGGUGAAAAGCACCCCGGAAGGGGAGUGAAAGAGAUCCUGAAACCGUGUGCCUACAAAUAGUCAGAGCCCGUUAACGGGUGAUGGCGUGCCUUUUGUAGAAUGAACCGGCGAGUUACGAUCCCGUGCGAGGUUAAGCUGAAGAGGCGGAGCCGCAGCGAAAGCGAGUCUGAAUAGGGCGUUUAGUACGUGGUCGUAGACCCGAAACCAGGUGAUCUACCCAUGUCCAGGGUGAAGUUCAGGUAACACUGAAUGGAGGCCCGAACCCACGCACGUUGAAAAGUGCGGGGAUGAGGUGUGGGUAGCGGAGAAAUUCCAAUCGAACCUGGAGAUAGCUGGUUCUCCCCGAAAUAGCUUUAGGGCUAGCCUUAAGUGUAAGAGUCUUGGAGGUAGAGCACUGAUUGGACUAGGGGUCCUCAUCGGAUUACCGAAUUCAGUCAAACUCCGAAUGCCAAUGACUUAUCCUUAGGAGUCAGACUGCGAGUGAUAAGAUCCGUAGUCAAAAGGGAAACAGCCCAGACCGCCAGCUAAGGUCCCAAAGUGUGUAUUAAGUGGAAAAGGAUGUGGAGUUGCUUAGACAACUAGGAUGUUGGCUUAGAAGCAGCCACCAUUUAAAGAGUGCGUAAUAGCUCACUAGUCGAGUGACUCUGCGCCGAAAAUGUACCGGGGCUAAAUACACCACCGAAGCUGCGGAUUGAUACC